UUACUGAGAGGUUGAGUUGUGGAGAAGAACAAAUCAGACUGGGAACGAUUCCAGGCCUGGAGAGAUGUUUAUGGGGCCUGAAAAGACUAUUAUUCCAUGGACUGACUUGUUAUUCCCCAGUUUAUUACCAGU